AUAGGAAAAUCCGAAAUUCCGUUAAUCUGAGGAAAGCGACGAGUUUGUCUUCGGUCAGUCAAGUAAUGUAUGCUAUACCGCCAAGAAAUAACCUCUAAGGAGAUUUUUAAAUGACCGUACCAUAAACCGACACAGGUAGGUGAGGAGAAUAUCCAAAGGCGCUCGAGAGAACUCUCGUUAAGGAACUCGGCAAAUUAACCCCGUAACUUCGGGAGAAGGGGAGCUUGAUUAGUGUGAAAACAUCUUUUUUAACCAAAAGCUUGUUUAGCAUGAAAAAGCCGCAGAGAAGUGGCCCAAGCGACUGUUUAUCAAAAACACAGCGCUCUGCUAAGUCGCUAAGACGAUGUAUAAGGCGUGACGCCUGCCCGGUGCUGGAAGGUUAAGGAAGGGGGUUAGGACGCAAGUCUGAAGCUCUUGACUGAAGCCCCAGUAAACGGCGGCCGUAACUAUAACGGUCCUAAGGUAGCGAAAUUCCUUGUCGGGUAAGUUCCGACCUGCACGAAUGGCGUAACGACUUGGGCACUGUCUCAACGAGAGACUCGGUGAAAUAGUAAUUCUGGUGAAGAUGCCAGAUACCCGCAGCUAGACAGAAAGACCCUGUGAACCUUUACUGUAACUUCAUAUUGAGUUUGAAUGAAUUAUGUACAGGAUAGAUGGGAGACUGUGAAGUGGGAGCGUUAGCUCUCAUGGAGUCGUCCUUGGGAUACCAUCCUUAAUUCACUUAGAUUCUAACCCUAUACCGUAGAUCCGGUUAGGGAACAGUGUGUGGUGGGCAGUUUGACUGGGGCGGUCACCUCCCAAAAGGUAACGGAGGUGUUCAAAGGUUCUCUCAGCACGGUUGGUAAUCGUGCGUGGAGUGUAAAGGUAUAAGAGAGCUUGACUGCGAGACCGACGGGUCGAGCAGGGACGAAAGUCGGACUUAGUGAUCCGGUGGUUCUGUAUGGAAGGGCCAUCGCUCAACGGAUAAAAGGUACUCCGGGGAUAACAGGCUGAUCCUAUCCAAGAGCUCACAUCGACGAUAGGGUUUGGCACCUCGAUGUCGGCUCAUCGCAUCCUGGGGCUGUAGAAGGUCCCAAGGGUUCGGCUGUUCGCCGAUUAAAGCGGUACGCGAGCUGGGUUCAGAACGUCGUGAGACAGUUCGGUCCCUAUCUGCUGCGGGCGUAGGAUAUUUGAGGGGAUCUGACCUUAGUACGAGAGGACCGGGUCGGACAAACCUCUGGUGUACCAGUUGUCGCGCCAGCGGCACAGCUGGGUAGCUAUGUUCGGAAGGGACAACCGCUGAAAGCAUCUAAGCGGGAAGCCUACCCCAAGAUAAGAUAUCCCUGUAGUGAGUUAGUUUGGAAGCAGAACUUCGGUUUUGUGGAAGAAUUAAUGAG
rnacentral:rRNA from 1 species